rnacentral:rRNA from 1 species
UACGUAGGGGGCAAGCGUUGUCCGGAAUUACUGGGCGUAAAGAGUGUGUAGGCGGUGCUCCAAGUCUGGUGUGAAAUCUCCCGGCUUAACUGGGAGGGUGCAUUAGAAACUGGAAUGCUAGAGGAUGGGAGAGGUAAGCGGAAUUCCUGGUGUAGCGGUGAAAUGCGUAGAUAUCAGGAGGAACACCUGUGGUGUAGACAGCUUACUGGACCAUUUCUGACGCUGAGACACGAAAGCGUGGGUAGCAAACAGG